UACAGAGGUCUCAAGCGUUGUUCGGAUUCAUUGGGCGUAAAGGGUGCGUAGGCCGCACGGUAAGUCAGAGGUGAAAUCCCGGAGCUCAACUCCGGAAUUGCCUCCGAUACUGCCGUGCUUGAGGACUGGAGAGGAGAUUGGAAUUCACAGUGGAGCAGUGAAAUGCGUAGAUAUUGUGAGGAACACUAGUGGCGAAGGCGAAUCUCUGGACAGUUCCUGACGCUGAGGCACGAAGGCCAGGGGAGCAAACGGG
rnacentral:rRNA from 1 species